UUGAACGCUGGCGGCAGGCCUAACACAUGCAAGUCGAGCGCGAAAGUUCUUCGGAAUGAGUAAAGCGGCGGACGGGUGAGUGACGCGUGGGAAUCUGCCUAGUAGUGGGGGACAACAGCCGGAAACGGCUGCUAAUACCGCAUACGCCCUACGGGGGAAAGGGGGGGAUCUUCGGACCUCUCGCUAUUAGAUGAGCCCGCGUCGGAUUAGCUAGUUGGUAGGGUAAAGGCCUACCAAGGCUACGAUCCGUAACUGGUCUGAGAGGAUGAUCAGUCACACUGGAACUGAGACACGGUCCAGACUCCUACGGGAGGCAGCAGUGGGGAAUAUUGGACAAGGGGGGCAACCCUGAUCCAGCCAUGCCGCGUGUGUGAAGAAGGCCUUAGGGUUGUAAAGCACUUUCAGUGGGGAGAAAGGUUUGUCACCUAAUACGUGAUGAAAUUGAUGUUACCUACAGAAGAAGCACCGGCUAACUCCGUGCCAGCCGCCGCCGUAA
rnacentral:rRNA from 1 species